UACAGGAAAAUUGAACAUCCGCGUGAAUGAAGUCGGGGGACCUCUAAAAGCGACCUGGACUAAAACUGGUAACCAAGGCAACAAGUGGUUCUUGGGACAACUCUCGCCUAAUGCCAAUAAUAGAUUCACGGUACGUUGAUUAGGGUACCUGUGGUAGGAAUCCUAUGAGGAUUAUCAACAUUUUUGAACUCCUCUUUUUCAGAUAACGUUUGAAGGUGUGCGCGGACGAAGUUUCCGAGGAGACAUUGCACUUGACGAUAUUAAGAUUCUCAAGCAAGGCUGCCCCCAAAGAGGUGAGUUGUCUCUAGGGGAGAG